rnacentral:tRNA from 1 species
GGAGAGAUGGCUGAGUGGCUGAAAGCGCUCGAUUGGAAAUCGUGUAUACCCUGAAAGGGGUAUCGAGGGUUCGAAUCCCUCUCUCUCCA